GGAAAUACCAGCCGCUGCCGCAUCCUGUCGUCCCUCCAUCCUCUCCGGCACCCUCCUUCACUCAAGCCCCACUCCCUGAGGAGUUCAUUCUGAGUGUGAGAUCCAGAGGAGCUCCGAAUUCUGGCGACAGACGUGCCCACCCUGGUGACAAAGUGGAAGGGGAAGCCUGCGCGCCAAGGCCCAGGGCUGCUUUGCACCUUCCCGGGGACGAGGGCAGGUGGCCCAUCUGUCAGGAUCACCUGCCGUUAUCAGCAGGAGAGGUCCUCACAGGAAGACAGUGAAAUGGGAUUGCUGACCUCUCUCCCCCUGUCUGUACUCAGCCGACCUUCCCCAGGAUGUCAAGUCAGCCCUGCUGCCCAGGGAGAGGGGGAGCUGGGUCUCAUCCUGUGGCCCCUCCUCCAGCCAGUGUCCCCAGGGCAGGCGCCAGGACGACAGCAGAAAACUGAAGACCAGACAGGCAGGGUGCCAACAUCACGCGGUGAGAAGGUGGGAAAGCCGGGUCUCGCUAUCCCCCAGAAAAUGCUGGAGGACGUGAUGGACGCAAAUCCCAGGUCCCGGCUCACCAGCGCGGCUGGCCUCUGGUGCAGGCAUCAGACUCUGGUGUUGGUCCCAGGGACAGGCGCGCACAGGACAGUGGGGGUGUGCAAGGACCUCAGGCCUCGGGGGAGGAA